rnacentral:rRNA from 1 species
AUACGGGGGGGACAAACGUUGUUCGGAUUAACUGGGCGUAAAGGGCGUGUAGGCGGACCGAUAAGUCGGGUGUGAAAUCUUGGGGCUCAACCCCAAGCUUGCAUUCGAAACUAUUGGUCUUGAGUAUGUGAGAGGAAAGUGGAAUUCCAGGUGUAGCGGUGGAAUGCGUAGAUAUCUGGAGGAACACCAGUAGCGAAGGCGACUUUCUGGCACAAUACUGACGCUGAGGCGCGAAGGCUAGGGUAGCAAACAGGAUUAGAAACCCCGGUAGUCC